AUUAAGACAACAACAACAACGACAGCAACAAAAAACGUUUGUUUUUAUUUGGCUUUCUGUUGGUAUUCCUACAGAAUUCUCUAAUUAAUGAUGGAAUUUCUUCUUGUUUAUCUCUUUCCCUUUAAAUUCAAGCAUUGUUAUUAUCUCGUAUCAUAGUAUUCGAUAGUGUGAUGAUAAUAACCAAAUGAAAGAGAAUGAGAAAGACUUUUCGGCUUUUCAAAAUCACACAAUAACAAUGUUGUGACUUUUAUCGGGUGAUGUUAAUGUGAACUUUUUAACACCAGAUUAAUCUCUUUUUUUUCUUUCUUUCUAGUUUUUUGCUGAUUUUUUUCUUGCCUUUCGAAGAAAAAAAAAAUAAUCAGCCAUCACAUCACAACGUUUUUUUUCAUUCUUGAAUCAGGCAACUAAACAAUUGCACCACCACCACCACCACCACCGCCAACAACAACAACAACAUUAGAAUAUUAAAAAAGAAAAUAAAAAAAAUAAAGAACAUGAAGAAAAAGAAUAUGGAUGACACAAUAGAAGACAAUCACAAACACCCACACACCCAACGUAUAUAAAAUAGAA